UGGCAUGGUCUCAAAGUAAACAUUAGCUGCCACUUCCUACUCUUAAAUUAACUUAUCUGUAUCUCUUUGAAAGAUUCUUUCCAAAACUCCUAUCCCAUAACUUACCUUUUCUAAUUCAUAGAGAAAAUAAAACACAUAAGAGAAACUCAGUCAAUGUUUUGACACCAAAUCUUCAAAGUCAACAGAAUACUUUUCCAUUCUUUCUAUCUUCCAUCCUCUCUUGCCUUCCUCCUUCCUGUCUGUGCUCCCAUCUACCCAUCUGUAUUGUGUAUUUCAGCUCAUUUCCAGUGAUAGCUCCCAAUUACUUACCCCUCUCAAUUAUCUGCAAACUCUCCAUCUAUUCUGGCUCUUUCUCUUCAGUAUUUAUGGAGGCACAGAUCAGUGAUUCUUUACUUUUGUGUACACCAAAGUCACCGAAAUAGUCAGGCCAUACCUAGGAACAAUUUAAAUCUCUAGGAUUUUUUUAGAAAUCUCCCUAAGUGAUUUUAAUGUCCACCUGAGGUUGAGAACAAAUGCACAAGAAUCACCAUCUUAACACACACACACACACACACACACCUACUAUAGACAAAAAUGACAAUUACAAUGAUAAAAAAAUGAUAAAUCAAAGAAACUUUUUAGCCCAUAUCUCCCUUAAGAUCUGGACCCAUUUUUCUUUCCCUUCACAACUGAGGAAGAUGUUAUUGGAUCUCUUUUACCUUGCCAGUGCACUCUUCCCAUAGCUUUUCUGAGUUUUGUCUUCAACCAGUUCACAGCUGCCUCCUCCAGAGAACUACCCUCAGACAAACAGGAGCCACAUCAUUUUCUUACUUCUUGAGCAUUUCUCAUUCUACUGCAAUCUUUAUUCUAUCUGGUAACACCCGGCAGUCAUAAGUGCCAGGUGAAUUGUCCCAAAGAUAAAAGAACAGAGAAAAACAGUGAGGAAUUUUCCGCCGGUCUGGGGGACAUUCUACCCAAUUGAGUCCUGGAGCCAUUCUCCCAAGAAGGGGUUCCCAUAUUCAACCAAAGGUUAGAGUUUGGUACUUUCCUUGAACUGGAGUCCCGAUUGGGACUUUUCCUGCAGUUCAGAGCAUGGUCAGGUGCCAGAGGAAGGGAUCCCAAUCCAGCCUUAGGAAAAGAAACCUUCCACAGGAGUCUUGGAGAUUGGCGGCUGUCCUAAUGACUUAAGUGGCUGACCCAUGCCCAUGUAAAAUUUGUCUAUUAGAGAUAGAGUCAGGAAGGAAUGGAUUAAUUCAUUUUCCAUCACCCUCAGGCUUAAGGUACUGAUUCUCUUCAGGCUGAAUGCCACGAUUUGCCCCAUAGAGUAGCCAUGGGCAGCAAACGUGGAUUCAUACAGCUGUCUGAGAAAGUUCCCGAUGGAGCAGUGAAUUUAGAUCCAUCCUUGAAAAAGACAAAGGCACAAGGAAAACUACAACUUCAGCUGACAAGCUGGUGAAGCAAGCUGGCUCAGCAAGCCAAGGAGUCAAAAGAAAGACUUCCUGGGCUCAAGGCCUGGAAGUAGCGCUCCUCUAUUCAAAUAGCAUGGCGACAGGGCCUAUGGGCAGUGAAGAGCUGCAGGAUGGCGACAGAGCCCAUGGCCAGGACUUAACAGGUCUUAAUUUAUCGCAUAAGGAAGUAUUCCCAGUCAGACAUUUUAAAACAUACUCAGGCAAAGUUGAUAUAACCUCUUCAUAAAAAGAAAAUCAGCUCGAGCAUUCCAACCUUUACAAUCUUAUGAACACUUAGACCUUCAUAUUUCACCAAUUCAAGUAUAACCUUAGUCCGGGUUUAAACCUAGUUACCAUUUUCUGUGUUUCCUUUUUAAUUUGGCCGUUUUUCAUAGAUACCAAUAAAAAUUAUGAUGAGAGCGCUCACAAUUUUUUCCCCAAUUUAGAAGUUUUCCGAAUUUAAAUGAUCCAUCGUCUGGCCGAAUUGACGAGUAGGGUCUUAACAGUGACUCAACCAAAGCUUAACCAAGGACAAAGAGGCAUCCCCAAAAGAGAUCCAGAAAAUUCACUCCCAAAAAUAGCCUAAGAAAGUAAAGGCAAGCAACAAAGGUUGAGACGACAAAGGCCCCUUAGGAAGGCAGUUGGGACCUCUUAUGACAAACUUCCCCGAGAGCUUACACAGCAGGACAAAGAGAUACUUUCCCAGAGCCCCAGUCUAUGUGACUGGCCGCCAAGAUGCGUGCCAGUACAUGCAUCCUCUGAUGGCAGAGACCAGAGAGGUCACAAAGCCAAGCUCUCAAGACAUAGAACAAGACAAAAAGCCCAGACAACAGGCUUAUACAGACGCCUGUGUCUUAUGACAAACAAAAAGACAGAGACAAGGAAAAGUCUAUCUCUGGGAGGAAAAGGAUCUACAACCAGUGAGUACUCAAAUCCUAGAGUCGCUGAAUCCAAGAAGCUAGCCUCACCAACGUUUUCUCCUGCUAAUCUAAAUUUAGGAGAGCAAAAAACUCACCACUCUUGCUUCCAUUGGACUCCGCUGGCAGAGAUCCGGGAGACUGAUGUGAUAAGAACUCUUACCUCUUGCCGGCUCUUGUCAGGGGUCCAGGAUCUCUAGGCCGCAGCAGUCCAGGAGCAAGCAGUGUCCAGCCAGUGAAAUUUCAUCCUGCCGACUACGCCAAAACUGUAGGGGAGGAAGACAUUUCCUCUUCCCAAAUGGGGUUCGUCUGGCCAGGGAACGAAUUAAAUUCACAUGAGACAGAAUAGCAAGAGAAAAUUAAACAAAGCUUUAUGAGGAACCAUGGCCCGGGGCCUUUCUUCCCCAAGGAAGAAAGGGCACCGAAGAAGUGGGGUGCACACAGUGGUUAUAUACCCCCAAAUGGGGUGUUUCACAUGUGAUUGAAAUGUCCCUCCCACAAUAGUCACAAGAUUGCCCCAUCAGCACAGUGCUUGAUGGACACAGCAGGUAGUGGUCUGCUAUCUCGGAGGGCGUAGCAGGAGGCAAGUCGAUUGUCUGGAGCUGGGUGGUCACAGGUGAGCUCAGCAAUCAGUUCCUAGCCUAAAGAAAGAUGCUUAAUUUUUAAGAAAUGCCAACGUUGGGAGGGGGAGGGAAGUCAGUUACAGGAGGUUACCAGACUAGCACAAUAAAAUGCAGAUUUAAGUCCUUGCCUUUGGUAUUGAUUAAGAGUUUUUGGAGAGAAGGUCAUCUCCUUUCUUCUUCCUGGUACAGAGAGAGAGGCACCUUUUACAGAUAGAGAUUUACCUUACAAAUGUAAAUGUGUCCUAACAAAGGGCAAGUUCCA
rnacentral:lncRNA from 1 species